rnacentral:rRNA from 1 species
AGAGUUUGAUCCUGGCUCAGGACGAACGCUGGCGGCGCGCCUAACACAUGCAAGUCGAACGGAGUUAUUUUCUUCACUCCGAGCUUUUUGCCGGUUAGCCGGAGCGGCAAUCGGUUUUGCCCAGUAUAAAAAGCAAAACCGAUUUAGGCUCAUAAAGUAAGGCUAACACAGAGGGCAGAGAGUUGGGAGUGAAGAAAAUAACUUAGUGGCGAACGGGUGAGUAACGCGUGAGUAACCUGCCCUGGAGUGGGGGACAACAGUUGGAAACGACUGCUAAUACCGCAUAAGCCCACGGCCCGGCAUCGGGCUGCGGGAAAAGGAUUUAUUCGCUUCAGGAUGGACUCGCGUCCAAUUAGCUAGUUGGUGAGGUAACGGCCCACCAAGGCGACGAUUGGUAGCCGGACUGAGAGGUUGAACGGCCACAUUGGGACUGAGACACGGCCCAGACUCCUACGGGAGGCAGCAGUGGGGAAUAUUGCACAAUGGGGGAAACCCUGAUGCAGCGACGCCGCGUGGAGGAAGAAGGUUUUCGGAUUGUAAACUCCUGUCGUUAGGGACGAUAAUGACGGUACCUAACAAGAAAGCACCGGCUAACUACGUGCCAGCAGCCGCGGUAAAACGUAGGGUGCAAGCGUUGUCCGGAAUUACUGGGUGUAAAGGGAGCGCAGGCGGACCGGCAAGUUGGAAGUGAAAACUAUGGGCUCAACCCAUAAAUUGCUUUCAAAACUGCUGGCCUUGAGUAGUGCAGAGGUAGGUGGAAUUCCCGGUGUAGCGGUGGAAUGCGUAGAUAUCGGGAGGAACACCAGUGGCGAAGGCGGCCUACUGGGCACCAACUGACGCUGAGGCUCGAAAGUGUGGGUAGCAAACAGGAUUAGAUACCCUGGUAGUCCACACCGUAAACGAUGAUUACUAGGUGUUGGAGGAUUGACCCCUUCAGUGCCGCAGUUAACACAAUAAGUAAUCCACCUGGGGAGUACGACCGCAAGGUUGAAACUCAAAGGAAUUGACGGGGGCCCGCAC